GGGGAAUUUUCCGCAAUGGGCGAAAGCCUGACGGAGCAAUACCGCGUGAGGGAGGAAGGCUCUUGGGUUGUAAACCUCUUUUCUCAGGGAAUAAGAANCUGAAGGUACCUGAGGAAUCAGCAUCGGCUAACUCCGUGCCAGCAGCCGCGGUAAUANCGGAGGAUGCAAGCGUUAUCCGGAAUGAUUGGGCGUAAAGCGUCCGCAGGUGGUUUAUCAAGUCUGCUGUCAAAGAGUUUGGCUCAACCAAAUAAAGGCAGUGGAAACUGACAGACUGGAGUGCGGUAGGGGCAGAGGGAAUUCCUGGUGUAGCGGUGAAAUGCGUAGAGAUCAGGAAGAACACCGGUGGCGAAAGCGCUCUGCUGGGCCGUAACUGACACUGAGGGACGAAAGCUAGGGGAGCGAAUGGGAUUAGAUACCCCAGUAGUC
rnacentral:rRNA from 1 species